UGGGGGUGGACUUCGAGGUCUCUUUCUCAAGCUUCCCUCAGUGUGACAGUCGGUCGACUUCUUGUUGCCUGCAAGAUGUAGCACUCUCAGCUCCAGCACCACAUCUGCCUGCAUGCUGCCAUGCUCCCCUCCAUGAUGAUAAUGGGCUGAACCUCCGAAACUGUCCCUGGGCAGAUGGAGUUUUAACUGUUGACGAUGUAAGACAGCCUGAAUGAUGCUACUGCAAAGUCGGUUCCAACGUCCGUCUGCUGACAGUAACUGCUUCCCUUUGGCAUUUUUCAAAACCAGGACACCAUCUUGAACACUUCAAGUGUGAGAAAGAACUCAAGGACCCUCCAGGCUUUAAGUGUACUAGCCUGCAUCUGGAAGCACUCUUGAGAACAUUGCAUCUUAGGAGACAAUACCUCCUGGGAUCUCCGUGUCACCAGCUCUUUUCAACAACACUGGAGCUGUGUAAUAGAGGAAACAUUGUCCUACAAAAUGCGAAGCGCCACUGCCAAGACCAGGGGAAAGAAAAGACAUUGCUGAAAGAUUUAAUAACUGCGGAUUUUCUGACUCAAAGCAGAUAUUCAGCCUUUGAGUGAUCUUUAUGUGGCUUAAGUGGAUUGGCAAGAGUACUUCCAGCAGGUCACAUGACCCAGGUACCACGGGAAAGCUGCAAACAGAGGGAUAUGAUGACUGUAUAGAAGAAUAGGCACCUCCCUGGCUAGUUCUUAGACACAUGACUGUCUCAGUAGAGACCUGCCAUCAUCUAUUGUUUGUGUACAGUCAAAGUCACUAGAGGAAACUAUUAAAUCAUUCAUUUACAAAGUAUCAUAGAUACUGAAGGUGACCAUUUGGUAGCCCAUCUGUUAACCUAUUGUCUUUCUCCAGUAUCUGUAAGCUUCAUACAAACACACCUCUCAUUCUUUCUGCACUAGAGAUGGUUCCUAAUUUACUGCCCGAAUAUGGGAAGAAUUGUUGAACGAAAUAGGGAAAGAGAAAGAGAGGGAGAGGAUAGGGUUUAAACGUUCAAGUCCUGCAUGGCAUGUUCCUAUCAUCUGGGUAGGGGGUGGCAGCCAGAGCCACAGACAAGCUCUGGCAUGUUUGCCAUGUCUUUGUAGAGUGUUGAAGCCUCAAUACUGUGUCCAAAGAUUGCUUGCUUGCUGCUAGGCAAUUGACAUCCUGCCUCCGGCAUUGAAACAAGCCUGCCUCAUUUAUGAACUCAUUAACCUGCAUUGAUAAAGACAGUUUACCAGCUAGAGGUCUUUGUGAUUGUUCCCGGCACCCACUCACCAUGCACCCAAGCUUGUUUUCACUGGCAUAUGCUCUGCAGUUGCCUCAGAGAAACCAUCUUUCUAAUGUUGAGCCCUUUCUGUGCUCUUUUCUCUCUUGACUACAUUUCCUGUUUCUACCUUUACCUGUUGAGGCUUAGGCUUGGAGUAUAAUUUUCCCCAUAUUUGGACUUCUAUUAUUUUCUCUAGAUGUUAGUUCACUCCUCUGACUCUCAGUUUUCCUUCUAAUUUAAUAAAGUAAUUUCUAUUUUUUCCCAGACCCCCUUCCACAUGCAUGCACCAAUAUACAUGCAUACAUAUAUACAUAUCCACACAUACAAAUACAUGCUUGCACACACACAUAAACAUGCAGACACAGACAAUAUACACACAUAUAUAUUAUACAUACACACUCAUACAAACCUCACACCUCCACAUACACACAUGAGCACACACACACACAGGGAAGCACACUUAUAUACAUUCACUGCACACAUAUACACAAAUAUACAUAUCUACGUACAUACUUAUACAAACUGCACAGCUCCACACAUACAUGCACACACAUACACAAACAUACAUGCACAUUACACACAGACAGACACAAACACACACAUGUGCACAUAUAUAUGUGUAUAUAUAUAUAUAUACAUUCACACAUAUAUACACACAUAGGCAUACACACACGGAGACACACAGAUAUAUGCAUACAUGCACACAUACCCAUACAAGCACACACACUACAAAUACAUAUACACCUAUACACAUACACAGAUAUGCACACAUACACACUCAUAUACACCACAUACUUCUAUAAACAUACAUACAUAAAAUAUGAAUAUACACAUUCAUACACAUAUAUGCACAUGCACACAUACUUAUAUACAUAUAUAAUGAAGAUUUAUACAUACAACCCCCCUCCAACAUUUAUGGUCAGUAGGUCAACAUUUGACCUCUUAAAAGAAGAAUUAAAAAAGGAAUUGCUCUCCCCACAGACAUCUAGAAAUCUGUUUUGUCUUGAACAAGUAUAAACAAUACUAAAUUGAGCCUUCGAAGAGGUUCAGACACAAGGGAGAUAAUAUAGAUAGCCUGUUUAGUAGUUCCCUUUCUGAGAUAUAUGAGGGUUUGGAUGACUGUUUAUUUGAUUGCCAAGUUUACUGCCUUAGUAAAAUAAUUUCAGUAAGUAAGUAAGGACUAAGAAGACUUUUAUUUCAACACUGUGGUAUAAAAACAGAGAUAACAGAGAUAAUUAUUCUUAUGAGAGUUAAUAUCUAGAGGUAUCAAUCCAGUUAUUGAGAAGUAACCCUAAGUAUCUUACAGUCCAUUGGAGUUAGUGUAAGCAGACAAGCUGAUAUUUAAAAAUGCCAUUUUUAUAGUGUAUGGAGAAGGAUUGGAUCCAAAGUCCAUCUGAUGCUGAUGCUGAAAUGGCCUUAGAAUGAAGGCCAUGGAUAUGUGCCUACUUGGGCAGUUUGGAGGAGCCAUGAUGCUUUUUGGAACCCUUGUUGAGUGCGUUAAAAAUGAAUCCUACUAAUGAAAAGUGCUUGCACUCUGUAGUUAAUCAUACUAAAGAAAUGUGCCACAUAAUCACCGUGAAAUUGAAUGUUGGUAAAUAUGCUGUUCAAUGUGUAUUCAAAUAAUUUUGUAAAUGAGGAGGAAUAAGGGCCAAGAUAUUGGAUCAUGAUAAACAGAUUUGGCCAAGAGCCACUGAUGUUGAAGGCCAAUAUCUAAUUGUAGAUAUUGCAGGGUCUGUUCUAAAUUCAGGGUCUGUCUUCAGUUGUCCACUGUCAAGUGAUGAAAUUUGAUGUGGCCACACAAGUGCAUCAAAUGAACACACUACUUUUUACCAGAACCAUUUAAAAGAACAGAGUUCAGCCAUUUUUGAACCCUCUUUGAAGUGCCACCUAGAACUCUGUAGCCUGUGUACAACACAGUCUUCAGGAGGGCAGGGUAUUGCCAGCCUUCUUUUCUUUAGAGUCACCCUCUUCUUGACUUUUGAGAGAAUUCUGAGAUAAUACACAAUGUAUUCUCUGGUCUGGAUGAUGAUUUUGAUGACAGUACUUAAGGGAAAAUUUUCUAGUCAGUCUGAUCAUGAGUAAAAAUUACGCCACACAGUCACAAUUAGAAAUAGUUUCCUGGCAAGGUGUCACAGAAGUAAUUAGGAAUUUCGAGGAUAUUGUACACUCCUCUGCCUAUCAGCUGGAAUACAUAAACGACAAACGCAAAUAGUUGAAAAAAAUCUCUAAAUAAUUAACUUUGUACUCUAGAAUAUAAAUGCUGUGUGAGGAAUUGUAAUGAAAAAGUAUAUAUAACAUAUAUUUUAUAGUGAAAUGUUUUAUUUAUAUAAUUUAUACUAGGAAAUGCACUCUAAAUAAAGGAGGGCUUUAUGAACAUGAAUAUAGAAUUAUUGGGAAUAUUUUGACUAUAUUUCUUGAAAAAAAGUGAAGCACCUAAGGAGCUGCCCUUGAGAGAAGGCCCAUAGACCUCUGAAACAAUCUCUGAAAACCAUCAAGACCAGAGAUGCCUUUUUUUUCUGAGCAAACUGACAUUAUAAAGAAGUAAAGAUGAGGCCAUGACAUUUACAAGUGAUUGGGUGACUAGUCUGUGUCUGUAUCUUUAUUGGUAUUAUCUUAAUCCUUCAAAUUACCCUGCAAGAAGGUUCUUAUUUCAUUUCAUACAGGAAGAAACUGAGAACUAAGAAGGGUAGGUAAUUUGUCAACGUUAGAGAGCUGGUAAAUGCCAGAGCUGGGAUUUAAAUCUGAAUCUAUCUGACUCAUAGCCCAUAAUCUUUCCAGUAUGCAAAACAAAAUGAUGUUGAAUAGAUAAACAAAGAAUAUCAUCCCUGCUUCCUUCUGCUAACACAUGUGACUAAUGGGCUUCGAAAGACGUGUUGCUAAAGGGCUUCUUAUGAAGAAGGAAUGCUUGGGCUGAGUAUAAUUAUGAAUUGGAAACAUGUUGUGACUCUUUUCCAUGUUUGUGAUACUCUAUGAAGCUUUAACAGGUGAUGUGAAGGUCACUCAAAUUAUGCACAAGACACAUCACUAUAUUGUAACGCUGACCUACCAGGGAAGACUUAGAGAAUACUGUACUCAAGAGCGUCUGGGGCAGGAGUCCAUGUUGGGCACAGAACAGAGUGAGGAUGACUAUGCUUUAGUCUGAGAAUCCAAAGGCUGAGAAAGGCACAAGGGUACCUGAUUAAGUGUCAGUUGACCUUCAUUCCUUGUAACUCCAGUAUAUAAUGUAAUGAUGAGAUUCUUUGGGAUCCCAGAAAAGGAUCUUGUUUUUAAUGACUUGGUUUCCUUAUUUGCAUUACAGGAGAAUAAAUCCUAUGUCAUGAAACUCA